ACUUUCCCUUUGGGGCUAGAGAUGGUACAACCUGCAUUUUCUGUGUUGGAAAGGAAAACACAAGAUGCAGCUGGCUUCCAGUGGAGAGCUCAGGAGCUCCUCCUGCAGGUGGACCGACCUUCCUUCCCAAAGGUUGACAACCAUUGUUUAUUUGGAAACAAUUGAUGUGACAUAAAAGAAUCCUGGGACACGAGAAUUUCCAUUAGCUGAAGGUCCUAGCCCAGGCCUGUGAUCCCAGCACUCUGGAGACUGAGAAAGGAGGGAUGCCUCAACGUCAAAGCCAACUUGGACUACAGAGUGAGACCCGUCUCAAAACAAACGAACCCGAACACUUAUUUAAUGUAUUAGUCACAUGGGCUUGUGUCUUCUAACGCAACCCUCAAUGUAGAAGUGCGGCUUAUGUUAAGAAAGCCUUACGACAAGGCAGCGAUCCUUAAGCAGGCUCACUCUCCUGCCCCAUCAUUUGGAAACAUUAGAUACCUAAACUGUGAAUGCUGCUCACGUGGAAACUAAAGCCACAGAUCUAAAGGACAGAGUGGAGUCUGGGUUAUUUGUGGGUAUGAAAGGAAGAGGGUGGAAGAUGGUAAGAGAGUCCCGAUGAUGGCUUCUGUCCUCUCUCCUGCUUGGGCAGCCUGCUACUCUAUUGUUAAACCCCAGCAGCAGCCUUUGCUGUAAAACCUCAGCUACAGCUAGCAGAAUGUCCUAAUCGUGGGGCAACAAAACUUAACUGAAAGAGCCACGAGAGCAAUCAUGGAACCUUGAGCAUCUCAUAAGGGUCAGAUAUGAGGGAGACAAGCUGCUGGCUGUGUCUCCUGACAGUCAGAAGGCCCUUUUAUGGUAAAAUGCCCUUGGGGCUGAGGAUAACUCAUUCCCACUGUAUCAAAAGCAAAGGCUCCAGGGCGUUCUCCCACACUUGUGCACUAACAAAGGGUCUGCGUCUUCAAAAGACCUUGGGAGGAAAUACUCCCAAGGAGAGAUCUGGACCAUGGAGAUUUGGAAGGAAAAACAGGUCACCUUACUCCAUGAAUAUGCUACCCAUCUGACAAAUACUUACAAACACUUCUUUAAAAUCCUAUAUGCAGAACGCACUGUGCUGUCUCGCACCCUCUUUGAGAUAGCUUGCUCCAAUUUCUGCUGUGCUUUGCUUUUAUAUAGUAAACGAAUGCUUAGAUUGUCUGUGUCUCUUGACUGAAUUCUUUGCUUUGAGAAGACAAAAAUGGAGAGACUCCUGUAACACAGGGACAGGAUUCACAACAACGAUGGACAAGAGGGACCAAAAUUUAGUAAGUAAGAGGAAUACAUUCUAGUGUUUUGUAGUAACAAGUGAUUAUAAUCUAGAAUUAUCUAUUUUUAAUACUUUUUAUUAUUUAUUUUGUAAAUGUGUGUGUGUGUGUGUGUGUGUGUGUUUAGGCCAGAUAAUAACUUGCAGGAGUCAAUUCCUUUCUUGUACCUUGGAUCCAGGAAUUGCAUUGGGGUCAUCAGGUAACUUUGGUGGCAAGCACCUCGAACUUGCUAAGCCUUCUCAUAAAAAACUAGAAAAGAGGAGCCUGAAGGUUUCAAACCUAAAGGAACCACAAAGGUGUCAGGUGCCAGUUACACAUUGUCUUCACAGAUGACAUACCAGCUUGGCCAGAAGUGCCAGCACCACUGUCCCUAGCACUUGGGAGCCAGCAGCAGUUGAAUUUCUACAAAUCUGAAGCCAUCCUGAGCUACAUACUUAUCAAGACUCUCCCCCACUCUCCCCUCCCCCCCAAAAAAACCCCC
rnacentral:lncRNA from 1 species